GAUCCUGGCUCAGAUUGAACGCUGGCGGAAUGCUUUACACAUGCAAGUCGAACGGUAGAGGGGGCAACCCUUGAGAGUGGCGAACGGGUGAGUAAUAUAUCGGAACGUGCCCAGUCGUGGGGGAUAACGUAGCGAAAGUUACGCUAAUACCGCAUACGAUCUACGGAUGAAANCGGGGGAUCUUCGGACCUCGCGCCAUUAGAUGAGCCUAGGUCGGAUUAGCUAGUUGGUGAGGUAAUGGCUCACCAAGGCGACGAUCCGUAACUGGUCUGAGAGGAUGAUCAGUCACACUGGAACUGAGACACGGUCCAGACUCCUACGGGAGGCAGCAGUGGGGAAUUUUGGACAAUGGGCGCAAGCCUGAUCCAGCAAUGCCGCGUGCAGGAUGAAGGCCUUCGGGUUGUAAACUGCUUUUGUACGGAACGAAACGGUGAGCUCUAAUACAGUUUGCUAAUGACGGUACCGUAAGAAUAAGCACCGGCUAACUACGUG
rnacentral:rRNA from 1 species